ensembl:lncRNA AABR07065590.1
AUCAACUCUUCGUGGACUAGAACUGUGUUUCUGAGUAGUAGGCCAUUGAGGGGACUAAGGUAGAGCCACUUUGAGGAGUCACUUGGUCAGCUGCUCUUCCCCCUUUAUGACAUCUGUCUCUCAGUUUUUAAGGCUGCACAUGGUUAAUUCAGUCACCAACUCUUGCUGGAGGAGGAGCUAGAGAACAGGAACAUAUUUUUUCCUCUGGCACACUAGCCUAUACCUCGGUGUGCACCGAGAAGACAAGGUGUCAAAGAUGCUGGAAGGGAGUGAACAUUAUCUGUCUCUGCCCUUUACACCUGCUUCCGUGAUGAUCCCUGCUUCACCACUGGAACCCGAAACGGUAGUUCCGGAUGACCUUGAACUGAACCCGGAGCCCUAGGGAUGGAAAGUCUCAGCAUGCAUGUGGGGUGCUGUGGAACCACAGUGUUCCCUGCAAAGGGACAGCAUCAACUGUUGCACAAGACAAUCUUUGAAGUCAGACAGACACCAUCUUCAGGAGGGCGGCUGGGCCUGUGUGCAAAAGAUCAUCACAACUGGGCUCGUUGACUUUUGGGGUUCCCUCAUUAGAGUAUCCCAGCUGGCUGUAUGCAGUUCUGCCCUGGUUGCACAUGGUUGAGGUUCAGGGAAAGGAAGGGCUGAAGUGUAGGGAGGGAGGGACUAGAGUGGGAAGCGCUGUCUAUGAUUUUGUGGGGGAGACAUCAUCCACACUGGCCACACUUUCCAGUGCGGCCUCUUUAAAGCUUCCCUUCUCCUGCCUGCAAUCUGCCCCCACCCCCUGACCUUUAUGUAAGUCUAAUAAAGUCGCUCGGCC